rnacentral:rRNA from 1 species
UACGGAGGGUGCAAGCGUUAUCCGGAUUUAUUGGGUUUAAAGGGUCCGUAGGCGGACUUAUAAGUCAGUGGUGAAAUCCUGCAGCUCAACUGUAGAACUGCCAUUGAUACUGUAAGUCUUGAAUUCGGUUGAAGUGGGCGGAAUAUGGCAUGUAGCGGUGAAAUGCUUAGAUAUGCCAUAGAACACCGAUUGCGUAGGCAGCUCACUAAGCCUGGAUUGACGCUGAGGGACGAAAGCGUGGGUAGCGAACAGG